UAGCCGAGCUCUGAGAGAGUACGUAAACGAAGAGCAGAGCAAACAGCAGUGGGAGAGAGAGACAGCGAGAGAGCGAGCUCGCAAAAGUGAUAUUGCGGAUGACAAAGCAAAGCUAACGAACUGAACUUGCCAAGCUCUCGCAUACAGUGACACCACACACAUACACACACACACACACACACGCACACCCAACAGAGUCGUAAUGAACGUUACGAGAGGGGGGGUUAAAUCAAAGCAAAAUUCCAAAAACCAAAGUCAGAUGCUGACCAAAUUAGCGGUAGUUGGCAACAGCGGAGAACGGAGAGCGAGUGUGGCUGUGUGUAUGUGUGUGUGUGAGAGGCGAUAACAAAGCAAAACAGAGAGGGAUAGAGAGAGAGAUAGAGAGCAGAGUCAAACGGCAAGGGGGAAUACACUUACAGCCUUACAUCUCUGAUGCAUUCACUCCCUCCUCCUAUCUGCUAUCUGCACUUCCACCGCAUUAUCACCGAUACUCUUACGUACAGAUACGGACACUGCGGCAAUACGUAUACGACGCAUUGACCGGACGGACACUAGUACAUUGACUAAAUGUAAUCGUCGCGGGGUGCUUGACGUAAAAGACAGCGGAACGACAACAGAUAGACAGAACCAGCUUGGCAACCGUCAGCACCCUCGUCGACCCGUCAACGAACGCAUUUCAUUUGAAUAACAAAUCAUUUAUUCUUUGACAGGUAGAGCGCCGGACAAGGACAGGGACCACGGCCCACGGACCAUGGACAGGGACGUGCUGCAGGUGGCUGAAAAAAGGCUGAAUAGAAAAGUACCCGGGCACCCCGGGUCCGGUUCAAAUACAGGUAGCCCUUGGAGGAUAUUGUAGUAGUAGUAUGACUGAUACGGGCCCUGCCGAUGACUGGAAGAAGGUUACCGCAUGACCCUCUAACCCCCUGGCAAUGUCAUUUACUCGGAUGGAUAUCGAGUUGCAUACCUUACGGAAACACAGAAACAGAGGAACUGCACUCAUCAUGGAAUCUGAGUUUUCGAUUAACAUUUAUUUGGAAUAACCGCCUCCCCAGCAUUAAUAUUAAUAGAACUUGUUCUGUUAUAUUCGGGAAGUUCGUUUCUACGAGUAUAUAGAUGUGGAUCUCGUUCUAUUGUCUGUCUGAUCGUCAAGAUUUCACGAUGACAGACACGAAAUUUGUGCGGUAAUCAUAACUGAUGUUUGGAUGCUACUCGUAGCAGGAUGGGCGAUAAAAUAAGCCCCACCAAGCUGAUUAGACCGUAUCAUCAUUGAAAGUUUCCUUCCCAAUAGAUUAAAGUACAAAACUAGAUAAUAAUAAUCGUAUAAUGCAUAUCUUAGAAUCCUUGGCCGAACCAAUUCCUAGUUACUGUAAGCCAAUGCCAAUUACUGUCAUAAAAAGUGCACUAUCACAAUGAAAACUUCCUCAUACGGACAGUAAAGACUCCUUAUAGAACUCUAGGUUAUCAAAACCAUAUAAAACAAUCAAUCGAUCUGAGAUAAUAGAAACAGAAAAGACCAUUAUGUCCACUCCCUAAAAAAUAGCCUUGGGAAUACCCCGAAAUGUUCAGUCUUUGGUAGAAUCUUAGAACGCAAUUGAAAAAGCUUUCUCUUGAGCUAUCGUUUUGUAGAUCUAGCUGUACAAAGACCUGUCUAUAGAUGUGAGAAAAAAAACUCACGUGAUUUGUCUACUUUGAACCAAUAGCAAACAUGGACUUCCCGUACAUUAAAUACGUAUUUCCCACCAACGCACACAAAAAAGUCUAAAAUUUACCAGGGAAUACCUAGACCACAGAUCAGGAAUAAAAAUAUUUAAAUGUCUGACAAAAUUA